UACAGAGGUGGCAAGCGUUGUUCGGAAUUACUGGGCGUAAAGGGCGCGUAGGCGGCCUGCUAAGUCGAACGUGAAAUCCCUGGGCUCAACCCAGGAACUGCGUCCGAUACUGGUUGGCUUGAAUCCGGGAGAGGGAUGCGGAAUUCCAGGUGUAGCGGUGAAAUGCGUAGAUAUCUGGAGGAACACCGGUGGCGAAGGCGGCUUCCUGGACCGACACUGACGCUGAGGCGCGAAAGCUAGGGGAGCAAACGGG
rnacentral:rRNA from 1 species